rnacentral:sRNA from 1 species
ACCAGGUAUGGUGGUAUAUACCUGUAACCCCAGCUACUUAGGAGGCUGAGGCAGGAGAAUUGCUUGAGCCCAGGAAUUUGGAAGCCAGUCUUGGCAAAUAGCAAAAACUUAUCUUUA